rnacentral:rRNA from 1 species
UGAGGAAUAUUGGUCAAUGGUCGGAAGACGGGACCAGCCAAGUCGCGUGAAGGAAGGCGGUACUAAGUAUUGUAAACUUCUUUUGUCUGGGGGUAAAGUGAGGGAUGUAUCCCUUAUUGUAAGUACCAGACGAAUAAGCAUCGGCUAACUCCGUG